AAACACCAACACACCUGAUUCAAAUGAGCAGCACGUUCAGAACCCAUCCGGAUCUGCCGAUGCGUUGCAACCGGAGGCACCACCAGGGUUCCCUAAUUGCCCCUUUGAUACCUAAAAUGUUUUGAGUUAUCUUGUCACUAAUUUGCAGCAAGCAGGCAAAAAUAGACUCGGAGCUGCCCACCUACCAGAUUCUCGCAAUGAUGAUUCCUCACGUGGCAUUGGCGGCGUGAAGGUAAAGGGCGGCCUGCGUAGAAACCAGGAAGAUGUAAUCUGUUCCGAUAUCCACGAUCGUCCUCUUGACGUCCUCCUUGCUGGGAUUGCUGGCCCAUGUUGACGUGUACAGGGAGUAAGCUUCAUCCAGUCCGACUUUGUCUUGAGUGGGCGGUACUGAGGUGGCUCCUCACAUUAUGAUGUCACAAAGUGAGGAAUAUCAGCAAACGGAACCCCUUUGAAGACGUCCAUGUGGUGCCGGAAGCCAAGACGGAUGUUCUCGCCUUCCACCAUGCCGCCCUCCGUGUACACCACCCCCAGCUGAAGAUACAAAUGACCAUCAGACAUUUUGAGGCGGCAGACACCGUCUCCAGAAUGACGGCAACGGUGAGCAAGAUGGCAAGCUUCUCCAUCAUGACCAGAAUGAGUUCUUCGAUGACUCGGUCGCUGGACUUUUAUAAAGCGGACACACCCCCGGAGCCACCUAUGAAAAUACAAACUUCACUUCAUGAUCCCGGGAACAAGUAAAUUUGGCAGCAGUCUUUCUGAUUCAAGUCUGGACGUGGGAGAACUGACACGGGUACGGCCGGGUGUCCGAGUGGAUGAGAAGGUGCGUGGACAGCGUGGAGGAGCGCUUGAAGGACUUGCCGCACAUCUUGCACUCAAAACUUUUUUCCUGGACAAACACGGAAUGUGUCACGUGG